AUUGAACGCUGGCGGCAUGCCUUACACAUGCAAGUCGAGCGGCAGCACGGGGCAACCUGGUGGCGAGUGGCGAACGGGUGAGUAAUGCAUCGGAACGUACCUUUCAGUGGGGGAUAACGUAGCGAAAGUUACGCUAAUACCGCAUAUUCUGUGAGCAGGAAAGCAGGGGAUCGCAAGACCUUGCGCUGAUUGAGCGGCCGAUGUCAGAUUAGCUAGUUGGUGAGGUAAAGGCUCACCAAGGCGACGAUCUGUAGCGGGUCUGAGAGGAUGAUCCGCCACACUGGAACUGAGACACGGUCCAGACUCCUACGGGAGGCAGCAGUGGGGAAUUUUGGACAAUGGGGGCAACCCUGAUUCAGCCAUGCCGCGUGAGUGAAGAAGGCCUUCGGGUUGUAAAGCUCUUUCGGCCGGGAAGAAAUCGCACGGGCUAAUACCCUGUGUGGAUGACGGUACCGGAAUAAGAAGCACCGGCUAACUACGUGCCAGCCGCCGCCGUAAGAC
rnacentral:rRNA from 1 species